AUGGCAAAAAGGUUGGCAAAUCCUAUGGUCGUCAAGCGUGUAACGGCGUACCAGCCCCACCUCUUUGCCAUCUGCCAGCAGACGGCAAAGAUUCUUUGCCAUCUGCUGGCAGAUGGCAAAGAGAUGCGGUGGGAGGCCAAGUCCAAGGGCGGCGCCGGAGGCAAGACCAAGACCAAGUGGGGCACCGAGAUCAAGGGCAAAGGCUCGCUCGAGCCAUGGUCGCAUGCCUACACCUGGGAGGAGGACUUCACCGCCUCCGACGACGACGAGGAUGAGCUGGAGGACGAGCAGCGCAGGCCGGAGAAGCCCAAGAAGAUCAAGGCCGCCGCCAAGGACAAGGAGGAUGACAAGAAGAAGAAGAAGCCGGCGAGGACGUGCGUCCAGAUCAAGGAGAUCCCUGAGGAAAACACCUCCGGCUGCAACGCUAUCCGCAAGGCCUUUGCCAUCGGGAACGGCAAGGGGAAGGCCAAGGAGCUGUCGCCGCAGGAUGCCGCGCUGCUCAUCUAG
rnacentral:rRNA from 1 species